rnacentral:ncRNA from 1 species
UCACCCGCUUUGAAUGGGAAGAGUACAAAAACAGACGCUUGCAGAGAGGGAAGCCGGUUCGCUGAAAGGCUCCCAGUCAGUCUUUUUUGGAAGGUCGCCCAGGAGCGCAAUUUCUCGAACAAAAAAGUAGAGAAAUUCGGGAAAGUCCCGUUAUCCCAUUUAAGUGCGUGAAUGCGUUUUUUUUGCAUUCAUGAAAAAAGGUGGUACCGCGAGAGAGUUCUCUUCGUCCUUUUA